rnacentral:rRNA from 1 species
GAUGAACGCUGGCGGCGUGCCUAAUACAUGCAAGUCGAGCGAACAGACGAGGAGCUUGCUCCUCUGACGUUAGCGGCGGACGGGUGAGUAACACGUGGAUAACCUACCUAUAAGACUGGGAUAACUUCGGGAAACCGGAGCUAAUACCGGAUAAUAUAUUGAACCGCAUGGUUCAAUAGUGAAAGACGGUUUUGCUGUCACUUAUAGAUGGAUCCGCGCCGCAUUAGCUAGUUGGUAAGGUAACGGCUUACCAAGGCAACGAUGCGUAGCCGACCUGAGAGGGUGAUCGGCCCCACUGGACCUGAGACCCGGUCAGACUCCUACGGGUGGCAGCAGUAGGGAAUCUUCCGCAAUGGGCGAAAGCCUGACGGAGCAACGCCGCGUGAGUGAUGAAGGUCUUCGGAUCGUAAAACUCUGUUAUUAGGGAAGAACAAAUGUGUAAGUAACUAUGCACGUCUUGACGGUACCUAAUCAGAAAGCCACGGCUAACUACGUG